rnacentral:rRNA from 1 species
AUGCUCCGAGAUGAAAACAUUCUUACUUCUCAAUCCAAAGAAGGAAGAUCAAAGCUCUACUUACUUGUACCCGCCAGGCUUCACGUACCGCGCUCUCGCCAAUUAUGCAAGUCCACCGUAGCAGCUGAGAGAGUUCUCUUGCCGCGUGCUCAACAUUACACCGGUACGCCAAUAAGGAGGAGAGAGGGAGAAAUAGUAUGGGUUUCUCUGACGCUGUGCAAUGGUGGGAUGAGUGGCAGCCCUGCGGAGAUUGUUCUUCACCAACACCGUCAUCACGCCGUCGUGCUGCCGGAACUCAUCUACUACAUCGCCGUCUUGCUGGAUCAAGAAGGCGAGGACGUCAUCAAGCUGAACGUGUGCUGAACGCAGAGGUGUCGUACGUUUGGUACUUGAUCGGGACGGAUCGUGAAGGUGUACGACUACAUCAACCGCGUUGUGAAGCGCUUUCGCUUACGGUCUACGAUGGAUUUCGGACGAUGCGCUUUCGGUGGGAGGAGACGUUCCCGUCGACGACGAGGCGCCUUCGAUGACUUCUUAAAUCUCAAGAUGAUAUAUCGGCUCUGUCUCUCGAAGGUGUUCAUAGAUAGGGCAUGCGUGUAUGUGUUCAUAGGGAUAAGUGUAUGCGCGUAUCAAUGAGCGUUUACUUCUGUACUAUAUUCUAAAAAAUGUUACACUUGGUGCCGUUGGUAGUACUCUUUUUUCAUUAAAU